AUUGAACGCUGGCGGCAUGCCUUACACAUGCAAGUCGAACGGCAGCACGGGGGCAACCCUGGUGGUGAGUGGCGAACGGGUGAGUAACAUAUCGGAACAUACCCUAGAGUGGGGGAUAACGUAGCGAAAGUUACGCUAAUACCGCAUACGAUCUAAGGAUGAAAGUGGGGGAUCUUCGGACCUCAUGCUCAUGGAGUGGCCGAUAUCUGAUUAGCUAGUUGGUGAGGUAAAGGCUCACCAAGGCGACGAUCAGUAGCUGGUUUGAGAGAACGACCAGCCACACUGGAACUGAGACACGGUCCAGACUCCUACGGAGGCAGCAGUGGGGAAUUUUGGACAAUGGGGGCAACCCUGAUCCAGCAAUGCCGCGUGAGUGAAGAAGGCCUUCGGGUU
rnacentral:rRNA from 1 species